rnacentral:rRNA from 1 species
GAUGAACGCUGGCGGCGUGCCUAAUACAUGCAAGUCGAGCGAAUGGAUUAAGAGCUUGCUCUUAUGAAGUUAGCGGCGGACGGGUGAGUAACACGUGGGUAACCUGCCCAUAAGACUGGGAUAACUCCGGGAAACCGGGGCUAAUACCGGAUAACAUUUUGAACCGCAUGGUUCGAAAUUGAAAGGCGGCUUCGGCUGUCACUUCUGGAUGGACCCGCGUCGCAUUAGCUAGUUGGUGAGGUAACGGCGCACCAAGGCAACGAUGCGUAGCCGACCUGAGAGGGUGAUCGGCCACACAGGGACUGAGACACGGCCCAGACUCCUACGGGAGGCAGCAGUAGGGAACCUUCCGCAAUGGACGAAAGUCUGACGGAGCAACGCCGCGUGAGUGAUGAAGGCUUUCGGGUCGUAAAACUCUGUUGUUAGGGAAGAACAAGUGCUAGUUGAAUAAGCUGGCACCUUGACGGUACCUAACCAGAAAGCCACGGCUAACUACGUGCCAGCCGCCGCCGUAA